rnacentral:rRNA from 1 species
GUAGGUGGCAAGCGUUGUCUGGAAUUAUUGGGCGUAAAGCGCGCGCAGGCGGUUCUUUAAGUCUGAUGUGAAGGCCCACGGCUCAACCGUGGAGGGUCAUUGGAAACUGGAGAACUUGAGUACAGAAGAGGAAAGCGGAAUUCCACGUGUAGCGGUGAAAUGCGUAGAGAUGUGGAGGAACACCAGUGGCGAAGGCGGCUUUCUGGUCUGUAACUGACGCUGAGGCGCGAAAGCGUGGGGGGAGCAAACAGGAUUAGAUACCCUGGUAGUCCACGCCGUAAACGAUGAGUGCUAAGUGUUAGGGGGUUUCCGCCCCCCCCUUAGUGCUGCAGCUAACGCAUUAAGCACUCCGCCUGGGGAGUACGGCCGCAAGGCUG